ensembl:lncRNA
UCACCAUCGUAGGUCUUCUGGCAACAUGUCGGACCGCUCGGCCCCCGUCCUGAACCCAGCCGGAGGGGGGGGUCUGGGGGGUUCCCCUGGGUUAACGGGGUCUGGUCACUCUCACACUCUGGUACCCGGGAUCAGUGCCUUGCUCAGGGGCACAUCUGCCGUUAUCCUUAUAGAAUGCUUUCCGGGACCCCCAGACCCCCAGUACUCCAGACCCCCCGACCGGACCGGACCCCCAGACCCCAGAGUACGACGGGAGCAUGCUAGAAGUCCUUAUUUGUUCUGGUGGUAUAAAGGUUUGGAUAUGUGGGCGUUCCUACACCCUGAUGAGAUAAUAAGCCAUAAUCUAUCACUAUACUAACCUUCUGUUCCUGGUGAUGUACUUUAUAUACCGUCAGCUCAACUCAUUUAUGCUCCUAUUUACUCCUUAUUUGUGUUUACGAACUAGUAAGAAACGUGUCUGUGUUGUGGGUGUUGAUUUAUCGGAAUGAGUUCUGUAAUCCCGGAGAGUUCGUAAUCCCGGAGAGUUCGUAAUCCCGGAGAAGUUCGUAAUCCCGGAGAGUUCAGUAAUCCCGGAUGUUUCAGAGUGCGCCUGGCCCACCACAGAAGGGCUGUAACCGUUGGCAACGGGGUCGGGGUUCAUACUCAGGUGGAAGGAAUUAUAGCGUAUAACGUUUGAAAAAAUAACUUAAAGAAAUGUACGUAGUCGUUGUAGUAGUAUCAGCAGUUCACUGGUGGGGACAUGAGCGCUUUAAUGUUCAUACGAUGCCAGUUUAAUCCUCUUUGAAUCAUGGGGUUGUGACCACCUUUGGACACGUUUGGUUCAGAAGAAGCCCGUUGGCCGUUGCCGUGGUACUGUGGCCGAGGACUCACCGUGCAGAACUCACGACCGCAUCGCCGCCGCCUCAAACGCCUCAAACGCACUUUGUAGUGUCGCUGGAGAACAACCAGCGGCCGAGCGAGGAGAGACUCCUCCACCUGCUCCUCCCUCUCCAGACCCUCCUCCACCUCCUCCUCCCUCUCCAGACCCUCCUCCUCCUCCUCCUCCCUCUCCAGACCCUCC